CCUACGUGUGGCAGCAGUGGGGAAUAUUGCGCAAUGGGCGAAAGCCUGACGCAGCGACGCCGCGUGAGGGAUGAAGGUCUUCGGAUCGUAAACCUCUGUCAGCAGGGAAGAACGGUCACUGUGCUAAUCAGCAGUGAAUUGACGGUACCUGCAAAGGAAGCACCGGCUAACUCCGUGCCAGCAGCCGCGGUAAUACGGAGGGUGCGAGCGUUAAUCGGAAUUACUGGGCGUAAAGCGCUCGUAGGCGGUCUGUCAAGUCAAGGGUGAAAUCCCCGCGCUCAACGUGGGAACUGCCUUUGAAACUGGCAAACUGGAGUGUGUGAGAGGAUAGUGGAAUUCCAGGUGUAGGAGUGAAAUCCGUAGAGAUCUGGAGGAACAUCAGUGGCGAAGGCGACUAUCUGGCACAUAACUGACGCUGAGGAGCGAAAGCGUGGGUAGCAAACAGGAUUAGAUACCCCGGUAGUC
rnacentral:rRNA from 1 species